UCAGUCAUGAUCACAAAUGAGAAGAAGACUUGAGGGGAUUGAUGAGCUGAGGUCAUGCUGGACCACUAGAACGCAGCAAGAGCAGCUGAGCCCAGUGCUCUUGUCUCUAUUACUUACUGCCUCACAUUUCUUUCUGUUGAUUGUUGCUGUGUGGAAAGUCAGAGUUGGGAGCAGGGGCUAUGAAGUUGGUGAGCCCCAAAUCACAUUUCCUCCUUUGUAAGAGAGUUGUGCACCCAGGGCACAGUCAAGACAGAAACUGAGGGUAGAAACAGAAGGGGUGUGGCAGCUAAGAUCAUCUUGUUCUCUCAGGAAAGCCUAUGGGAGACUUCUGAUCCCAUUUCGUAGGCAGAAUAGGGGGUCACCUGUUAUCACCUAGCCUCAAGAAAGGAACCAUUAAGCUGUAGCCUCUGUAGUUGGAGGUAGGAGUGAGAAGGGGGUGGGACCUGGCUCUCUGGGUCAAUUAACAUAGUCUGCCUCAGGUAGAUCCUGAAUCCCAGGGUGCUGUAGACAUGGUGCAGGUCAUGGCUAGCCUCAUGCCUCUGGUCACCCUAUCCAGACAAGUUGAGUGGCAGUAGUGGAGAUGGUCUGACGUCUCAGCCUGGUGGGACUCACUGCCCACUCCCCAGGCCCACCACUGGAAUGAUGGCUGUCUUUCUUUGAGAGCACAUAGGUGGAACAUUAGGGAGAGGGAGAUGAACGAGGCCAUACUAUUGCAAUCACUUGGGAAAAAAAUACAAAAUUUUCUGAAAAUACAAGAUGCUUUCUACUGCCACCAGACUUCCUUUGGAAGUUUUCCUACCGCUUAAUAACUAGGAACUUGUUGGCAUCUGACAGAGCAUCUCAGAUUUCUUAUGUAAAAUGUGGAAUUGUCAACAGUCAGAUGCUUCAAUGGCCAAGACUGUGGUGUGCAGUUUCUAUCAGCGUGUACAGGACAUCCUGCCUGGUUUUGGCCUCAAGGAAGCAAUGGUGAGAUUUUGUAGCUCACCGUCUCCUAGUUGGAGCAAAGGGUGCCAAACAGAGGUCAAGCUCGGGCCACAGGGAAACUGGGAAAAUACAUUCACGAUGUUCAUUGCCAUGUGCGAGGAGUCCAGUGGAUUUCAGAAAAGUUGUCUUCUGUGUCUCCUUAUAGGAUAUGGCAAUAGCCCCUUACUGGAAGAGCAUUUUUAGAGCUGCCAUUGAUGGACACAGAGGGUGUUAAAACCCAGAGCACAUAAGCCAGGAUGAGAAAAUUAAUCAGAAGAUAAAAGACAGCGGGCUUUGGGGACCCUGGCCGAGCCCUCCUGCAUGCUCCUGGGACAUCCUUUCAGACCAGCAGCACCAUCCCAUGCAGGGGCUGUGACAGAUGACUUAUAAUGUAGACAUCACCUCUGCUGGUGGACAGCCUUCGGAUUUGCUGAGUCCUUUCAUAACAAAUAAAACCAAACACG
rnacentral:lncRNA from 1 species